rnacentral:rRNA from 1 species
UAGGGAAUCUUCGGCAAUGGACGAAAGUCUGACCGAGCAACGCCGCGUGAGUGAAGAAGGUUUUCGGAUCGUAAAACUCUGUUGUUAGAGAAGAACAAGGACGUUAGUAACUGAACGUCCCCUGACGGUAUCUAACCAGAAAGCCACGGCUAACUACGUGCCAGCAGCCGCGGUAAUACGUAGGUGGCAAGCGUUGUCCGGAUUUAUUGGGCGUAAAGCGAGCGCAGGCGGUUUCUUAAGUCUGAUGUGAAAGCCCCCGGCUCAACCGGGGAGGGUGAUUGGAAAAUGGGGGACUUGAGUGCAGAAGAGGAGAGUGGAAUUCCAGGUGUAGCGGUGAAAUGCGUAGAUAUAUGGAGGAACACCAGUGGCGAAGGCGGCUCUCUGGUCUGUAACUGACGUUGAGGCUCGAAAGCGUGGGGAGCAAACAGG